AGCUGCGAUAAAUAGUGCGAAUUGCAGACGCAUUGAGCACAAAAAUUUCGAAUGCACAUUGCACCAUUGGGUUGAUUCCCGAUGGUACGUCUGGUUGAGGGUCAAU
rnacentral:rRNA from 1 species